UACGAAGGGGGCUAGCGUUGCUCGGAAGAUCACUGGGCGUAAAGGGCGCGUAGGCGGCGUUUUUAAGUCGGGGGUGAAAGCCUGUGGCUCAACCACAGAAUGGCCUUCGAUACUGGGACGCUUGAGUAUGGUAGAGGUUGGUGGAACUGCGAGUGUAGAGGUGAAAUUCGUAGAUAUUCGCAAGAACACCGGUGGCGAAGGCGGCCAACUGGACCAUUACUGACGCUGAGGCGCGAAAGCGUGGGGAGCAAACAGG
rnacentral:rRNA from 1 species